rnacentral:rRNA from 1 species
UACGUAGGGAGCAAGCGUUGUCCGGAAUCAUUGGGCGUAAAGCGCGCGUAGGUGGCUCAUAAGUCCGUUGUGAAAGUCAAAGGCUCAACCUUUGAAAGCCGGUGGAUACUGUGGGGCUAGAGUACGGAAGAGGCGAGUGGAAUUCCUGGUGUAGCGGUGGAAUGCGCAGAUAUCAGGAGGAACACCGAUGGCGAAGGCAGCUCGCUGGGACGGUACUGACGCUGAGGCGCGAAAGCGUGGGGAGCGAACAGG